rnacentral:rRNA from 1 species
UACGUAGGGUGCAAGCGUUGUCCGGAAUUAUUGGGCGUAAAGAGCUCGUAGGCGGUUUGUCGCGUCUGCUGUGAAAACCUAAGGCUCAACCUUGGGCUUGCAGUGGGUACGGGCAGACUAGAGUGCGGUAGGGGUGACUGGAAUUCCUGGUGUAGCGGUGGAAUGCGCAGAUAUCAGGAGGAACACCGAUGGCGAAGGCAGGUCACUGGGCCGCAACUGACGCUGAGGAGCGAAAGCCAGGGGAGCGAACGGG